AUUGAACGCUGGCGGAAUGCUUUACACAUGCAAGUCGAACGGCAGCACGGGGCAACCUGGUGGCGAGUGGCGAACGGGUGAGUAAUACAUCGGAACGUGCCCAAUCGUGGGGGAUAACGUAGCGAAAGUUACGCUAAUACCGCAUACGAUCUACGGAUGAAAGCGGGGGAUCGCAAGACCUCGCGCGAAUGGAGCGGCCGAUGUCAGAUUAGGUAGUUGGUGGGGUAAAGGCUCACCAAGCCGACGAUCUGUAGCUGGUCUGAGAGGACGACCAGCCACACUGGGACUGAGACACGGCCCAGACUCCUACGGGAGGCAGCAGUGGGGAAUUUUGGACAAUGGGCGCAAGCCUGAUCCAGCCAUUCCGCGUGCAGGAUGAAGGCCUUCGGGUUGUAAACUGCUUUGUUACGGAACGAAACGGUUCUCUCUAAUACAGGGGGCUAAUGACGGUACCGUAAGAACU
rnacentral:rRNA from 1 species